UUUUUGUUUUUGUUUUGGCCCGAGCGCAUUUCGGAGCCCUCCCGAGCUCGUCCUGCAGCCCACCCUCCUCCCCGACGGCGCCCCUGGCCGUGGCCCGGCGACCCCGCGGCCGCUGCGUCCCCUUUGUGCUUUAUCCGCUCUCCCUGCGUCCCCUGGAGAGAACAUUGAAAGUAUUCUCUAAGCUAUUUGAAGAGAGUGACUAAAUGCACCUGGGUCAGGCUGUCUGUGGGUAUGAAGUGGUUGGGAGAAUCCAAGAACAUGGUGGUGAAUGGCAGGAGAAAUGGAGGCAAGUUGUCUAAUGACCAUCAGCAGAAUCAAUCAAAAUUACAGCACACGGGGAAGGACACCCUGAAGGCUGGCAAAAAUGCAGUCGAGAGGAGGUCGAACAGAUGUAAUGGUAACUCGGGAUUUGAAGGACAGAGUCGCUAUGUACCAUCCUCUGGAAUGUCCGCCAAGGAACUCUGUGAAAAUGAUGACCUAGCAACCAGUUUGGUUCUUGAUCCCUAUUUAGGUUUUCAAACACACAAAAUGAAUACUAGCGCCUUUCCUUCGAGGAGCUCAAGGCAUUUUUCAAAAUCUGACAGU
rnacentral:lncRNA from 1 species